GCCUGGGUGGCUCAGUCGGUUAAGUGUCUGACUUUGGCUCAGGUCAUGAUCUCGCAGUCUGUGAGUUCAAGCCCCACGUCGGGCU
rnacentral:tRNA from 1 species